GUGAGGAAUAUUGGUCAAUGGACGCAAGUCUGAACCAGCCAUGCCGCGUGAAGGAUGAAGGCGUUCUGCGUUGUAAACUUCUUUUAUCUGGGAAGAAACCCCUUUUUUCUAAGAGGGCCGACGGUACCAGAGGAAUAAGCACCGGCUAACUCCGUGCCAGCAGCCGCGGUAAUACGGAGGGUGCGAGCGUUAUCCGGAUUUACUGGGUUUAAAGGGUGUGUAGGCGGACUAUUAAGUCAGUGGUGAAAUCCCGGGGCUCAACCCCGGAACUGCCAUUGAUACUAUUGGUCUUGAAUACUGUGGAGGUGAGCGGAAUGUGUCAUGUAGCGGUGAAAUGCUUAGAGAUGACACAGAACACCGAUUGCGAAGGCAGCUCACUACGCAGUGAUUGACGCUGAGGCACGAAAGCGUGGGGAUCAAACAGG
rnacentral:rRNA from 1 species